GGUCUUUUCAGACUAGGCAUAUUUGCUGGGCAUAUUAUAUGUGAUUUUCUGAGACAAGGCCCAACUAGAAUUUAGGCCUGUCUGUUCUGUAACAGUACUCUGGCAAGGUACUGAGGGAGUUAAUCUGAUCUAGGAGAGUGUCCAGUGUGCCUUGGAUGCUCAUCAAAUCUUGGUCAAGUGUUUGAUUGUUUUAUUUUCUUGGGGCAACUGUCCAGGCAGUUUAAGCCAAAAAAAAAAAAAAAAAAAAAAAUCAGCUAGCAGAGGGCCAAGACGCAAGGACUAGAGUAACUAGAAUCCAGGUCAAUUAACAAACACUAGAGCUAGCAGGGAGACAGUGAAACAAGAACUGGGAUAAGCAGCCUGAAAAGACACAAAAAUCAAGAGGAAGAGUCCAAAGAAGUUACUGACAGUUGUCCCAUGUUGGCAAGUGGAUACAUAGGUGCCGAGCCAAGGUGGAAGAGUUCUGAACCACUCAUGGCAAUUGAGUCUGAGUGAACCAAUCUGGGAGACCAGGAGGCUGUGGUGCAGGAGACAGAACUGGUGGUGGUGGUGUGGCAGCUGGUUGAGCAGCUUGGGGUUGAUGAACAAGAGGAGGAGGCAGUGUAUGUUGUAUACCUUUGAAUGAUGAUGCAACACAAAAAAGUCAUAUAAGAUGCAGCUGACAAAAACGAGCAGGGAUGGUGGGUACACUGAGGGAGAAAAGCACAGCACCCAGACUUGAGAAUACUAUUACUACACCAGAGGGGAAAAUGCACCAACCCAAAGCUCUGCCUCUCUGUUUCAAGUUGGAUGGUUUUAAAUGAAUCUGAGUCUGAACUGAUGAGAUGAUAUCCAGAUAUUCCUGUUCAUGAAAGAGGUAAAAACAUCACAUUCCAUUAAUACAUGCCUACCCAUGUUUAUAGCAGCACAAGCUAAAUCUUGAAAGAGACCUAUAUGUCCAUCAGAUGAAUGAAUGGGUAAAGAAUAUGUGAUUCUUAUACACAGUGGAGUAUUACUGUGUGACAAAGAAGAAUAAACUUGAGUUAUAUGUAGAAAAACGGUUACACCAUGAUACCAUUAUGCUAAAUGAAAUAAACCAGACACACUCUUAAACAUCACAUGGUUUCUCUU
rnacentral:lncRNA from 1 species